AGUGGACGCUGGCGGUAGGCCUAACACAUGCAAGUCGAACGGCAGCACAGUAAGAGCUUGCUCUUACGGGUGGCGAGUGGCGGACGGGUGAGGAAUACAUCGGAAUCUACUUUUUCGUGGGGGAUAACGUAGGGAAACUUUCGCUAAUACCGCAUACGACCUACGGGUGAAAGCAGGGGAUCUUCGGACCUUGCGCGAUUGAAUGAGCCGAUGUCGGAUUAGCUAGUUGGCGGGGUAAAGGCCCACCAAGGCGACGAUCCGUAGCUGGUCUGAGAGGAUGAUCAGCCACACUGGAACUGAGACACGGUCCAGACUCCUACGGGAGGCAGCAGUGGGGAAUAUUGGACAAAGGGCGCAAGCCUGAUCCAGCCAUACCGCGUGGGUGAAGAAGGCCUUCGGGUUGUAAAGCCCUUUUGUUGGGAAAGAAAAGCAGCAGGUUAAUACCCCGCUGUUCUGACGGUACCCAAAGAAUAAGCACCGGCUAACUUCGUG
rnacentral:rRNA from 1 species